AUAAGAGGCAAUUGGCAAUUGCUGAAGCUCGCUCUGGCUACUUGAGAUGUAUGUAUGGAAACUAUUGCCUUUUCUAGGAUGCUUAUGGUCAGAUCAGACAGCCCCCAACUUUUUCUCAGCUAAAAACAAAACAGCUCUUUUUAUGUCAAUUUAAGCAUGUGACACCAAGGCCAUCGUGCCCUUUUGAGAGGUUUUUCUACUCACAAAUAGGUGGCUAAUUGCAAUGAGACAGGGAGAACUAGUCUUCUCUGGUAUUUUCUUGUCCGUCAAAUUGAAAAGACCUUAAAAGCAAUGCUAACCCACCCCACUUUAUUCAGGAAACUUUGACACAUUAUAGCAAGUCUGUUAAAAAUUUAUUUCACUGGGCAUAAAGAUCUCCCGCUGCUUUCCUAGGCAAGGCUGAGGCUGUGAAUUUUCACCCCAGAUGUAAUUAGAGUGACUCUUACUUUGGGGAUACUUCUGGAUCCUUCCACAUCAAAGUAAGAUCUGGAGAAUCAAUGGCAAAAUUCCUUUUUUUGGGAAAAUUAAUUAAGAUGUGAUUUUCAGUAGCUGUGGCGGGCUUUAAUGAGACAGGCCUUUGCUCUUGGUAAUGACGGUCCCUCUCCCAGCCCUGCUCUGCUGUCGAAUUAUCCCAGCGUGCCUCGUCUCCUGGGCACCCUCUACAUGAAAUGAGUUAGGGGUCUCGGUCCUCUCCUUAGUAGAGCCUUGCCACAGAAUCUUUCUCCACCAUCAGCAGCAAUUAGCACUAAUUGGUACCCUGGGCACCCGUCGAACGGCGGGGUCAGUGAUGGAGUGAACAGGCAGCACGAAUUACCCUUUUGCCUCUGGAAGUGAACUUAUCGGUUGUGUGUGGAGUUGCUCUGAUCCUGCUACCUCGGCUGGGCUGAGGAGGUGGAUUAAGGAGGAAUUCAUUCUCUGAGGCUGUCAAACAAGACAACUGAGGAAGGUCAGUCCACUGGCAAAACAAAGGAGCUGAGUUAUGGCCACGGGACAGCCAUAAAUAGGCCUCCAUCUUCGCCCCCACAUUACCUC
rnacentral:lncRNA from 1 species